UUUAUGUUGGUCUGUAGAAAGUGAGUAAUGUUCAUUACUAGUCAUGAUCUUCUGCCUGAUUUCUUGAUGCCAUGAAUGGAUGUGAUGUGCAAAAGACUCCGCAGGCUCUGACGACUUAUGGGACAGUGACAUAGGGACAAGAUCAAUAGAUUUCCCAGGUUUAUAACCAGUAACGACUUCAUAAGGACUGAGACUUGUGGACCUAUCGACGGAAUUAUUAAACGUAAACUCGGCUAUAGGUAUUACGGUGUCUCAUGUUCUGGUGUGCUCUAUAUCCCUCUUAGGGGGAGACUCAUCCGGUAGAACAUUAGGAAAGAUAUCACGUAACUCAUCCAUUACUGGAAUGACCUUAGUGGGUAACUCUACAGUAGCCUCUGGUGCACUCUCUCCAGCCACAAGGCCGCACAUGUUGUACCCCUUAAAAUAGUGGUCUUGAUGUCUCUCAUGGGGUGGGUGCACAGGUGCACACUCAUAAUUGAUUCCCUGACCAACUCCAUUCAUUGGUCUAUCCUCCAGGCCACCUGCCUGAGAUUGGACAUCUACCCCAAUGGUGGGGUUUGUCCUGGCGAUGGUCUUUAGUCGGGUAAUGCGUACAUCAAGCUGUUCAAAGCAUUGGUCCAUUUCCAAGCGCUUAAUCAAAGACUCCAACUUCUGAGACAACUUGUUUAGUGACUCUUGCAAUUGUUCCAUGUUUAGUCGCUUAAUCAAAGACUCCAACUUCUGAGACAACUUGUUUAGUGACUCUUGCAAUUGUUCCAUGUUUAGUGUAGGGUGCCAACCAAAAUUCAGCAAUAUAGUUGUCAAAAUAUAAGAAUUUUUAUUUUUUUUAUUUUUUUUA